rnacentral:siRNA from 1 species
CCCAGAGUGCUCAAAGCGGCUCAC